rnacentral:rRNA from 1 species
UACGGAGGGGGCUAGCGUUGUCCGCAGUUACUGGGCGUAAAGCGCUCGUAGGCGGGUUGGUAAGUCCGCUGUGAAAGCCCGGAGCUUAACUCCGGAGGGUCGGUGGAUACUGCCAGUCUUGAAGGUGCUAGGGGGAGAUGGAAUUACCGGUGUAGCGGUGAAAUGCGUAGAUAUCGGUAGGAACACCAGUGGCGAAGGCGGUCUCCUGGGGCAUUCUUGACGCUGAGGCGCGAAAGCUGGGGGAGCAAACGGG